rnacentral:rRNA from 1 species
GACGAACGCUGGCGGCGUGCUUAACACAUGCAAGUCGAACGGAAAGGCCCUGCUUUUGUGGGGUGCUCGAGUGGCGAACGGGUGAGUAACACGUGAGUAACCUGCCCUUGACUUUGGGAUAACUUCAGGAAACUGGGGCUAAUACCGGAUAGGAGCUCCUGCUGCAUGGUGGGGGUUGGAAAGUUUCGGCGGUUGGGGAUGGACUCGCGGCUUAUCAGCUUGUUGGUGGGGUAGUGGCUUACCAAGGCUUUGACGGGUAGCCGGCCUGAGAGGGUGACCGGCCACAUUGGGACUGAGAUACGGCCCAGACUCCUACGGGAGGCAGCAGUGGGGAAUAUUGCACAAUGGGCGGAAGCCUGAUGCAGCAACGCCGCGUGCGGGAUGACGGCCUUCGGGUUGUAAACCGCUUUCGCCUGUACCGAAGCGUGAGUGACGGUAAUGGGUAAAGAAGCACCGGCUAACUACGUG